GGGGGGGUAACGGCUCACCUAGGCGACGAUCCCUAGCUGUCUGAGAGGAUGACCAGCCACACUGGAACUGAGACACGGUCCAGACUCCUACGGGAGGCAGCAGUGGGGAAUAUUGCACAAUGGGCGCAAGCCUGAUGCAGCCAUGCCGCGUGUAUGAAGAAGGCCUUCGGGUUGUAAAGUACUUUCAGCGGGGAGGAAGGCGAUAAGGUUAAUAACCUUGUCGAUUGACGUUACCCGCAGAAGAAGCACCGGCUAACUCCGUGCCAGCAGCCGCGGUAAUACGGAGGGUGCAAGCGUUAAUCGGAAUUACUGGGCGUAAAGCGCACGCAGGCGGUCUGUCAAGUCGGAUGUGAAAUCCCCGGGCUCAACCUGGGGAACUGCAUUCGAAACUGGCAGGCUGGAGUCUUGUAGAGGGGGGUAGAAUUCCCGGGUGUAGCGGUGAAAUGCGUAGAGAUCUGGGAGGAAUACCGGUGGGCGAAGGCGGCCCCCUGGGACAAAGACUGACGCUCAGGUGCGAAAAGCGGUGGGGGAG
rnacentral:rRNA from 1 species